AUUGAACGCUGGCGGCAUGCCUUACACAUGCAAGUCGAACGGUAACGGGCCUUCGGGUGCCGACGAGUGGCGAACGGGUGAGUAAUACAUCGGAACGUGCCCGAUCGUGGGGGAUAACGAGGCGAAAGCUUUGCUAAUACCGCAUACGAUCUACGGAUGGAAGCAGGGGACCGCAAGGCCUUGCGCGGACGGAGCGGCCGAUGGCAGAUUAGGUAGUUGGUGGGAUAAAAGCUUACCAAGCCGACGAUCUGUAGCUGGUCUGAGAGGAUGAUCAGCCACGCUGGGACUGAGACACGGCCCAUACUACUACGGGAGGCAGCAGUGGGGAAUUUUGGACAGUGGGCGCAAGCCUGAUCCAGCCAUGCCGCGUGCAGGAUGAAGGCCUUCGGGUUGUAAACUGCUUUUGUACGGAACGAAAAGCCUUCUUCUAAUACAGGAGGGUCAUGACGGUACCGUAAGAAUAAGCACCGGCUAACUACGUGCCAGCCGCCGCGGUAA
rnacentral:rRNA from 1 species